UCCGACAAACCAUUCGAGGUACUUGGAAGAUUAAGUCUCUUAUCUGGGUGGUUGUUACAGGUUUAGGAUGUUAAAUGAUUUUGGAUGUACUCUGCGAUGUCGAUGAUGCAGAGAUGUUGGUGAAGCUCAGGUUCGAACAACUUCAUGUGUAUAUUUUAUUAUAAAAAAUAAAAGUUUUUUUUUGUUUCA